rnacentral:rRNA from 1 species
GACGAACGCUGGCGGCGUGCUUAACACAUGCAAGCCGAACGGAAAGGCCUGCUUUCCCUUGUGGAUUGCGGGUACUCGAGUGGCGAACGGGUGAGUAACACGUGAGUGAUCUGCCCCCAACUUGGGUAUAAGCCUGGGAAACUGGGUCUAAUUCCCGAUAGGACUGCAGGGUGGUGCCUGUGGUGGAAAACGAUUUUCUAGUGGUUGGGGAUGAGCUCGCGGCCUAUCAGCUUGUUGGUGGGGUAAUGGCCUGCCAAGGCGGCGACGGGUAGCCGGCCUGAGAGGGUGGACGGCCACAUUGGGACUGAGAUACGGCCCAGACUCCUACGGGAGGCAGCAGUGGGGAAUAUUGCACAAUGGGCGGAAGCCUGAUGCAGCGACGCCGCGUGGGGGAUGACGGCCUUCGGGUUGUAAACUCCUUUCGACCGCGAGGAAGCCACCUGGUUGGAAGGGUGGUGACGGUAGUGGUAGAAGAAGCACCGGCUAACUACGUG